rnacentral:lncRNA from 1 species
AUGGGGGGAAGAAGAGAGAAAGGGGCGCCGGCUGCGCGCGUCGGGGGUUCGGCCGGGGCGGGGCGCGGGUGGUGGGUCGCCGCGUGUGCGGGAGAGCGUUCCAGGGGCCGGUCGUGCGGCUGCUGCGGGUGGCAGGGCCGGAGGGCCCUCUGCGAGGGUUUGCCCCAGGGUUCGCCGAGGGGGCGGGCCGGGUCUGCGUCCGGGGGUGGGGCGGGGCCUGGCUCGUGGGGAGGCUCGCUAAGGGUGCUGAGGCCGGCUGGCGCCGCGGGCGUCGCGGGACCGCCCUCGUGCUGGUGGCGGUGGGAUCCCGUGCACGUUUACCCGGUGGCCUGGCUCGCGUCUCCGUUGGCGCGCCCUUCCCCGAGCCCGUGCCCUCCUCCGCGCGCGCGCUCUCUGGUCCUCGCUUCGUGCGUGUGCCUCCUCCCCGCAGCCUCCGGCCCACCUCCCGUUCUGUGCUGCUUUUUUUUUUCCCCCCUCCGUCUCGGCUCGGACGACCGAGCGCGCGUCCGCCCCUUCUCCUCUCCCUCCCCCGUCACCGUGUCGGGCCCGAGACCAGGCCUCGCCGCUUGUCGGGUGCCCGCCCCCCCCUUGGGCCGCCAUGGCUCUUGGGGGGCCGGGUCCCGGGCGGAGUGCUGUCGGCCCCGCUCGCGUGAGCGAAGGAAUGGGGGGAAGAAGAGAGAAAGGGGCGCCGGCUGCGCGCGUCGGGGGUUCGGCCGGGGCGGGGCGCGGGUGGUGGGUCGCCGCGUGUGCGGGAGAGCGUUCCAGGGGCCGGUCGUGCGGCUGCUGCGGGUGGCAGGGCCGGAGGGCCCUCUGCGAGGGUUUGCCCCAGGGUUCGCCGAGGGGGCGGGCCGGGUCUGCGUCCGGGGGUGCCACGGGACCGCCCUUGUGCUGGAGGCCUCGGGCGGUGGGACCCCGUGCGCACCCCGGUGGCGACUUGGCUCCGCCCCCUCGAGGCGCCUGGUUGGAAACCCGUGGGGCUCCCUUGCCGUUGGCCCGCGGUCCUGUUCCCCGUCGCUCUUCGCCGGCGCCUCGUUGCCCUUGCCGCCAGGCCGUCCGUGUCGUGGCCUCCUCCGUUCGGCUACCAAACCCGGUGGCGCGCUCUGGUGUGUGGGCGCUUCCCAGGCCCGCUGCGGCCUCCUCUCCGUGUCCGCCGCCACCGUCCGGCCCGGCGGCGGUGUUGUGUGCAGACGGGGGGGAUCGUCCGUCCCCUUCCUCCGCCGUGCCCCCCCCCACCCCCCGCUCUGGCGCGCGCGCGCCUGGGCGUGGGGCGGGUCCCGGCUUGUCCGUCGUUGGCUGCCCCGCGACCGCGCGCCCGCCCCCCCGGUGGAGGGGUGCCCGGGUCUCGGCCCGGCCCCCGCCCCGCGUGAGCGUGUGCGCCGGCCUGCUGUGCCAGCCUCGGCGCGACCUGUCCGGGGCUCCGUCCCUCGCUCGCGCGCCGCCACCGGGUUGUUGGGGGUCGGCGCGCGUUGGAGGGGGGGACGUGUGCGUGUCCUCCCCCGCCUCUCCACGCCGUCGCCGGUGUUGGCCCGGUCCCGCGGGGGCGGGGUCGGUCAGUCCGUCACGCUCGCUCGCUGCGGGGUGGGACGGGGCCCGUCUUGAGUGGGCGCGGCGCGCGCGCCUGGGCGUGGGGCGGGUCCCGGCUUGUCCGUCGUUGGCUGCCCCGCGACCGCGCGCCCGCCCCCCCGGUGGAGGGGUGCCCGGGUCUCGGCCCGGCCCCCGCCCCGCGUGAGCGUGUGCGCCGGCCUGCUGUGCCAGCCUCGGCGCGACCUGUCCGGGGCUCCGUCCCUCGCUCGCGCGCCGCCACCGGGUUGUUGGGGGUCGGCGCGCGUUGGAGGGGGGGACGUGUGCGUGUCCUCCCCCGCCUCUCCACGCCGUCGCCGGUGUUGGCCCGGUCCCGCGGGGGCGGGGUCGGUCAGUCCGUCACGCUCGCUCGCUGCGGGGUGGGACGGGGCCCGUCUUGAGUGGGCGCGGCGCGCGCGCCUGCUCCUCCGCCUUUUCCUCCCCGCGGGCUCCCGCGCCCCGGGGGGGAGGGGGGCCGCCGCCGCCACCGCCGCCAGCCCGCCGCCACCGCCCGGCCGCGUCGCGGCCCCGUGCUCCGUACGCCCGGUCCACCGUGAGACGUGUGCCACCCCCCGGUGCGCGCUCUCUCUGGCUCACCGCGCUCCUACCUGGUUGAUCCUGCCAGUAGCAUAUGCUUGUCUCAAAGAUUAAGCCAUGCAUGUCUAAGUACGCACGGCUGGUACAGUGAAACUGCGAAUGGCUCAUUAAAUCAGUUAUGGUUCCUUUGGUCGCUCGCUCCUCUCCUACUUGGAUAACUGUGGUAAUUCUAGAGCUAAUACAUGCCGACGGGCGCUGACCCCCCUCGCGGGGGGGAUGCGUGCAUUUAUCAGAUCAAAACCAACCCGGUCAGCCUCCCCCCGGCCCCGGCCGGGGGGCGGGCGCCGGCGGCUUUGGUGACUCUAGAUAACCUCGGGCCGAUCGCACGCCCCCCGUGGCGGCGACGACCCAUUCGAACGUCUGCCCUAUCAACUUUCGAUGGUAGUCGCCGUGCCUACCAUGGUGACCACGGGUGACGGGGAAUCAGGGUUCGAUUCCGGAG